ensembl:lncRNA
CUCAUUCAAACAACAUUAAAGGAAAAAUGGGUGGUGUGCAAGAUUUCAUUACUAUUACUGGAGUGAGAAGUGACCAGGUCAGGAAUAGUGCCACGAGUCCAUAAGUAGCAUGGGGCCAAAAGAACAUAAAAGCAUGAAAUGUAUGAUGGCUAUUUGGAUGAUAUAUGUUUCUGAAUAAAGAGUCAGGCAAGGGUCUUGUAUGUGGACCAGAGUUGUUACUAGAAAUAUUAACCUGGCUUCAGCCAAUUUCAGAAGAUGCAAUGACGAAAUUGCCCAGAGCCCCUCGAGAUUGGAGAGUUCUUUUUAUGAUGGGUCCCCCAAGAAAUUACAGCUUUUCUCUAAAGUCGGAGACACUCAGCCUUUGCCAGCUACAGCGGGGUGACGAGGCAAGUGAUUUAAGACGGGAGAAGAACGGCCUCUCCUCCACUAAAUCACGUUUCCUCUUGGCCUCUGUAGUUCCACGUCACUUCACAGCGCAGUCUCAACCUGCCGUAAUUCACUCACGUUCUCUGCCCUUCCUGAUUUUCUGUGCACACGUGCUCGCUGUUUUUCUUCUAGGCCUUCAGAAACCCAGCCCAUUCGUGUGGUUGAGGAAAUUGAAAAUGCAUCCGUUAAAUAAAGGACUGCAUGGCUUUUGUGCCCUGACAGUGACCGCUGUUUGGUGAUGAGUUAAAGCCAAAGUGGGAAGUAUUCAAAACCCAAAACAAACCAAGGCGGAGUUGCAGUGGGUGAGGGGCAGGUGCAGCCCUAGUCCUGGCUCUGAUCUCCAGACCUUCGGAUCCGUGUGGCAGCUCCCUAAAGCUAGUCUGCUCCAUGGACUAGUCUUUGGAUGGCCUUCAGCAAUCCCCCCUGGAAUGUCAUGGAAAGUUUUAUGUGCCCACGCACAGAGGCAUUUUCUUGGGAGGAGAGGUCCAUAGAUUUUGGCCUCAGAGAAACUAUGCCUUACAUCUCUGAAGGAUUAUCUUAUCACCAUCUGAGUUGGAAUUUUUCUUGUUACUCUGAGGAAGCUGAAUUAAUUAUAAGUUUCCUUUAAAACUUAGAACUUAUUUUUAGCAAAUUUUGCUGUGGACUCAAUAUUGCAGAAUCCCUCUUGCAGCUACAGAAUGUAGCACUUGCCUCGGUAAGAUUGCCUUAGUGACAAAAUGCAAAAGGUUGUAGAGCUUUCUUCAAGUUACCAUGUCCUAUGACUGCCUAUGGUGAAAGAAGAAAAGGGAAGCGAGAAAAGAAACAAGCUAGACACUUCCCCAGGACUUGGAUGUUCAGAGUUUCUGCUGUGGAGGGAGACCCUGUCCUUCCAUGAAAAACCUUUUACCCUGCUGUUGAGGCCAACGGAGCCGAAUGGCGAGAGUCUGAGAAGUGCAUGGUUCAGUAGACCCCAGGGCGUCGAUGUGGCCAUGUCUGAGAGUACUGCCCAUCCUCCCUAGCUCCCUAGCAUGCUUCUUCACCUGGGGAGAAUGUGCUUGGAAAGGGGAAAGCCUUUGACCAGCCAUUAGCAAGCCAUUGCCCAGAAGGGCACUGAAAAUAAGCUCCCUGUCUGGUUUCCAGUGAAUCACUUCCUCACCGGCCUGAGCGGCUGCCUGGGCAUCAUAGUUCAAUCAUUUACACCUACCAUGGUGCAGACAAGCAUUGUGGAGGGGCAGAGGUGUUUGAGAACCAAAGUAUACUACAGCAUGGAACACUUACCUCAUGGAGUGGAACGCUUACCUCCACCCCCAACACUCCGCCUUUUCCAGACUCUCUUGUCAAAGAGACUGUGCCAAAGGGACGGAGGGUGGCCAUUCUAUUUUCCUUCCCCCUGUCCUGUGCAGAACUAUUUUGUAUCCUUCAGAUGCCAAUUUGAAUGCAUAACACUUUAUAUGUGGGUACGUGUUAAGGACAUGCAUUCUGCCUGUGUAAACUUUUUUUUUAAGCCCCAAAAGCAUAAAAGGAAUCCAUUUCAGAGAAAAAUAAAUUAGCUUUAAAAGAUAAACAAUUUAGUGCUGGCAUCAUUUAACAGGGUCCCAUUCUCAAGGAAAAGGAGUAAAUGCCGUUUUUAAAUACUACUCCUGUAGAAUUCUUCUCCAUAUUUGUGGAUUUUCACAGCCUUCUGCUUGAGGAAAAAGUCUGGUGGGGUCAGGAUUGAGGACGUGAGGCCAUUGACAAGGAGGGGAAAUACACACACACAGGUUAUUUCAAGGGCCGUUUAAAAGAUUCUAGUGAAUAGACUGGAGCAAGAGCAAAGUAUAAUGACUGCGGAAAGUUGGAAUUAGUCUCUCAUGCUUUAAUUAGCUCCUGAGUGUUCGAAACAUUCUUACAUUGGAAACCAUCAGUCGAGUUGCCCCUGAGAUCUCUUAAUUUUACGCUCUUAGGACUGAGCUACAGACAUAAGCAACAACAUGCUCAUGAAAUUUUAGCGUGUUGCCCAAAUGCACAACUGAAUAGGGAGAAGGGAACACAAGAGCAGAACUGCCUUUCCAUGUAGCCCUGGGGUCAGGAUGGCAACAAAUCAAAGCUGUUUAGGCUCCCCAGCCUCAUCCCAUUCAGAUAUUUGGUUGUGCUGCUGGUUGUCUCAUCAUUCCUCCUUUGAACCUCUGGUUUGUUGUCUUUCUUUGAUAGCAAGCUGUGUUUUGUUUUGGGUCAAAGGGAAAGUAAGAAUAUGACUGAUAGCAUUUAAAGAACAGGAGGGAGAAACACACUUUAUGGACUUAUUUGACACGAAUCAUUGACCUAACGCCCAAAAAAUGCAAUUAAAAAGUGUAUCUCUCCCUUAUUUGCAUGGCCUAUUUCCCCAGACAUAUUUUUGGUAUUGAAAAUGAAUGGUAUUCCCAUACAACAUGUGUCUCAAUUUGUAAUGAUAUCCUCCUUGCAGCUGGCUUAGUUCUCCAAGUGUUUCUAAAAUGUUACUGUCUUAAAUUUGAGCCAACCUACAAUAACAAAUUAUCUAGAAGCAAAGUGGCUAAGCUGCAUUUGGUGAGAGAAGGGGAAACCCUAUAUUUCGUCCUUCAACUCUUGUUUUGGAAAUUCAGGCUGUAACGUGAUCUUUUUCUAGGGAAAUCUACACACGCACACUUUAAAAAUUGUGCAGAUUGGGUGUUGUGGGAGCAAGAAUGAUCAGGUUCAAGUUUCUCUGCAAAGUUCUGCAUCCCAUCAACAAGCCCUUUUGAUAUUUUAAACCCGUACUUAGAGUAAUUUCAAGAUAUUUGGAGCACAUGUGGUUAAAUGUAAAACUUUGUCAUUAUGAUUUGUUAGAUGCUUAUACUUUAAAUAUUUAUAAGCCAUUUUUAAGUACUUUAUCCAAAAGCUUUCUCCCAUUAGACUGCUGUACUGGAGUGGUAUCUGAGCAUCAUGAUAUAUGGAAGAUACCAGGGGGAUGUCACUGCAGUGUGCAUGCGCAUUCUUCCUGCUUUUCUGGUUUUAAUUCAAGUGACGUUUUUAGUAGAUUUCAGCUUAUUUAAAAAAUGUAUAAAAACUCAUAAACAGGGUUGGUUGUCUGUGAUUAAAAAAAAAAUUACCCAGUCCCCCAAAAGUAAAAUGUCCAACUUGAAUCACGCUGAGUCCCACCUCUUUUUCUUAUCCUGAGUAAUUAGUAAAACUUUCCGUUAGGGUGUUGGAUCUGGAUCUGUGUCCACCUUAAACUUAAAGUGUCACAUUGUUCCUCCGAAAUGUCUUAGGGACAACUUAUUGGUGGCUAGAUUGAAUUCUUACUAUUCACCUUCAGCCAUCUUGGGAACUAAGACGUAGGACCGUGGCUUUACCAUAGGGAGUCUGUUCGUGCACUUAAUGUGAAAGAGAGGAGAGGAAAAAACACUUUUUCCAAAUUCAGAAUCCAUUUAAGCUUCGGAGGUUAUAAAUUUCAAACUGACCACAGACCUCUGGGGCUCACACUCUUUUAUGGCUGGCAAAAUACAACUUUCUGGGAAGAACGGGGGAAAAGAAGGCUUAGAAGGGCUCAUAAACCUGCUUGGACAUCUAAUCGCUUGUACCAAGCAGCGUUUUCAUGAGUUAAGUGUAAAUGAGUCAGAAACAUAUAGAUUGAAUUUCUUUUAAAAUACACAUGGGUUUAAAAAUUAAGGCCACAGUGCUUGGCAAAAUAAGUUUUGGUUUUAGCCAAACCCCAGAAGUUUGAAAAAAUAGUUCUACAAUUUGCCAAACCAAAAAUACAUCCAGGUCCCUCCAUCCUCUCAUCUAAUACAAUGGCAUCAUAAACAUGGGGCUUAAUGUCUAUUUUCAAAUCAA